UACGUAGGGUGCGUGCGUUAAUCGGAAUUACUGGGCGUAAAGCGUGCGCAGGCGGUUUCGCAAGUCAGAUGUGAAAGCCCCGGGCUCAACCUGGGAACUGCAUUUGAAACUACGAGGCUAGAGUGUGUCAGAGGGGGGUAGAAUUCCACGUGUAGCAGUGAAAUGCGUAGAGAUGUGGAGGAAUACCGAUGGCGAAAGCAGCCCCCUGGGUCAACACUGACGCUCAUGCACGAAAGCGUGGGGAGCGAACAGG
rnacentral:rRNA from 1 species